GCGCAAUACAAGUCUCUGUGAAGGUUGCAUCACUACAUGUGAAGUUGGGGUACCCACGUCUCUUUGCUGAUUUUUGUCAAUUUAGACGAUAUAACAUAUAAAAAUCAAAAUGUUAACUGCUGCAAAGUUGUUAACUCGAAGUUGCAGCAGUGUCACCUGCGACAUUGCUAGAAAACAACAGUUCAGCACGAUUCUUAAAAAUGUAGCACCUUCUGCCUACAUUGUACCUCAACAAGCUACUAAUAUACAUCAAUAUCGAUACAAAUCGGAAGAAGUAAAAGGUGCAGUUAUUGGUAUUGAUCUUGGAACAACAUUCUCAUGUGUAGCUGUAAUGGAAGGAAAACAAGCUAAGGUUAUUGAAAAUGCUGAGGGUUCACGAACGACUCCGUCUUAUGUUGCAUUUACUAAAGAUGGAGAGCGUUUGGUUGGUAUGCCAGCUAAACGUCAAGCAGUUACAAAUUCAUCAAAUACAUUUUAUGCUACGAAACGAUUAAUUGGACGAAAAUUUGAAGAUCCAGAAGUGAAAAAAGAUAUGAAAACUGUGACUUAUAAAAUUGUUCGAGCUUCCAAUGGAGAUGCAUGGGUACAAGGAGGGGAUAGUAAAAUGUACUCUCCUAGUCAAAUUGGUGCUUUUGUACUUAUGAAAAUGAAAGAGACGGCAGAAGCAUAUUUAAGUACUGGAGUGAAAAAUGCUGUAAUUACUGUUCCUGCAUAUUUUAAUGACUCACAAAGACAAGCAACAAAAGAUGCUGGACAGAUUGCUGGUCUCAAUGUUCUUAGAGUAAUCAAUGAACCAACAGCAGCUGCUCUUGCAUAUGGCAUGGAUAAAACAGAAGAUAAAAUCAUCGCAGUAUAUGAUCUAGGGGGUGGUACAUUUGAUAUCUCAAUCUUAGAAAUCCAAAAAGGAGUCUUUGAAGUAAAAUCCACGAAUGGGGAUACUUUCUUGGGAGGAGAAGACUUUGAUAAUACUUUAGUUAAUUAUUUAGUAUCAGAAUUCAAGAAAGAUCAAGGUAUAGAUAUAGCUAAAGAUGCUAUGGCCAUGCAACGGUUGAAAGAAGCAGCUGAAAAGGCGAAAAUUGAAUUGUCUAGUUCUCUACAAACAGAUAUAAAUUUACCUUAUCUGACUAUGGAUGCUAGUGGACCAAAGCACUUGAACCUUAAACUUUCCAGAAGUAAAUUUGAGAGUCUUGUUGGUGAUUUAAUUAAACGUACUAUUCAACCAUGUCAGAAAGCACUUUCUGAUGCUGAAGUAUCAAAAUCUGAUAUUGGAGAAGUAUUGUUGGUUGGCGGUAUGACAAGAGUACCUAAGGUUCAACAAACAGUGCAGGAAAUUUUUGGUCGACAACCAUCAAAAGCUGUAAAUCCUGAUGAAGCUGUAGCUGUUGGCGCUGCAGUUCAGGGAGGAGUACUUGCUGGAGAUGUAACCGAUGUUCUUCUUCUAGAUGUUACUCCACUCUCGCUUGGUAUUGAAACGUUAGGUGGUGUGUUUACAAGAUUAAUUACACGAAAUACGACUAUUCCUACGAAGAAAAGUCAAGUAUUCUCCACAGCAGCUGAUGGUCAAACUCAAGUAGAAAUCAAAGUUCAUCAAGGUGAACGAGAAAUGGCUCACGAUAAUAAACUUUUGGGACAAUUUACUCUCGUUGGAAUUCCACCUGCACCAAGAGGAGUGCCACAAAUAGAAGUCACAUUUGAUAUUGAUGCCAAUGGUAUUGUUCAUGUAUCCGCUAGAGAUAAAGGCACUGGAAAAGAACAGCAAAUUGUUAUUCAAUCGAGUGGUGGCCUCAGUAAAGACGAAAUUGAAAACAUGGUUAAGAAUGCUGAACAGUAUGCUAAACAAGACAAGAUGAAGAAAGAAAGAGUUGAGGCUGUAAACCAAGCGGAAGGAAUUAUUCAUGAUACGGAAAGUAAAUUAGAAGAAUUCAAAGCACAAUUACCACAAGAAGGAUGUGACCAAUUAAGGGAACUGCUUGCUAAAAUGCGAGAAACAUUAGCGAAGAAAGAUGAUCUAGAACCAGAAGAAAUUAAAAAGCAGUCGAAUGAAUUACAACAAGCAAGCCUUAAACUGUUUGAAAUGGCGUACAAAAAGAUGGCUGCAGAACGAGACAGUCAAAGUCAACAGGAACCUGGAGCAGAAAAGAAGGAAGAAAAGAAUUAAUAACAUUUAAGACAACAUAUUCAGGAAAAACAAAUUAAUUGCACAGAUGUAGGAGCACCAAUAACACUUUACACGUUCAAAAGAAAUUCAUCGUUAUGUAACAGGUAACAAAAUUUAAGCAAAUAAUGAACGAUGUAUUAGUAUUUUUAUUUUUUGAACAUGUGUGAUUGAUAAUAGGAAAUAUUAAUUUGAAAUUAAAAGGUUAUGUAUAGAGAUAAGAUUUGUUCACAAUUAUAAUAUAUGUAUUACUUUAUAAUUACAUAAAUUUUUAACAUUUCUCAAAAAAGAUAUUAAGCAAAUAGCUUUCAAAUCAUUUUGAUUUAAUUCGUACUAUUGAAUUAUUUGAAAAUAAUAAAUACGAAAAGAUAAAUUUUUAUCAAAUAUUUUGGAAAGUAUAUAUUUAUUACACAAUCAAGUAUCAUCUUCUGUGAGGAGGUAAAAUUGUAUACUCUGUAUAUAACUAUUUACGUUAUGACAUUUGCUGUUAGCAGUUUAUUAUUACAUGCAGGGAAGUGUUAAAAACAUGUACUUCCUUGUCAGUUUAACUUGAAUUCAAUAAGAACAGAGGAAAUUGGUAGUUAAA